AUUGAACGCUGGCGGCAGGCCUAACACAUGCAAGUCGAGCGGAUGACGGGAGCUUGCUCCUGGAUUCAGCGGCGGACGGGUGAGUAAUGCCUAGGAAUCUGCCUGGUAGUGGGGGACAACGUUUCGAAAGGAACGCUAAUACCGCAUACGUCCUACGGGAGAAAGCAGGGGACCUUCGGGCCUUGCGCUAAUAGAUGAGCCUAGGUCGGAUUAGCUAGUUGGUGAGGUAAUGGCUCACCAAGGCGACGAUCCGUAACUGGUCUGAGAGGAUGAUCAGUCACACUGGAACUGAGACACGGUCCAGACUCCUACGGGAGGCAGCAGUGGGGAAUAUUGGACAAUGGGCGAAAGCCUGAUCCAGCCAUGCCGCGUGUGUGAAGAAGGUCUUCGGAUUGUAAAGCACUUUAAGUUGGGAGGAAGGGUUGUAGAUUAAUACUCUGCAAUUUUGACGUUACCGACAGAAUAAGCACCGGCUAACUCUGUGCCAGCCGCCGCGGUAAGAC
rnacentral:rRNA from 1 species